rnacentral:rRNA from 1 species
UACGUAGGGGGCAAGCGUUGUCCGGAUUUAUUGGGCGUAAAGAGCGUGUAGGCGGCCAGACAGGUCCGUUGUGAAAACUCGAGGCUCAACCUCGAGAUGUCGAUGGAAACCGUCUGGCUAGAGUCCGGAAGAGGAGUGUGGAAUUCCUGGUGUAGCGGUGAAAUGCGCAGAUAUCAGGAAGAACACCUAUGGCGAAGGCAGCUCGCUGGGACGUUACUGACGCUGAGACGCGAAAGCGUGGGGAGCAAACAGG